AUUUAUUAAAUUUGCAAUAGAAACCAUGUCUGUUUUUGCCCAAUCAAAGCAAGGUAUUUUUAAAAUUCAGCCCAAAACACUGUUAGCUUAUUGUUAUCGUAGGCUUGGGCGGUUUACCGGUUUUUCGUGUUUUUUUUCGGUUUUAUUUUCAAACCGGUUUUUUCGGUUUAGCUUUUACAAAAACCGGAAAACCGUCAUUACGUAAUUGUUUACUGUCAUCGCCUGAAACUCGAUCUUAAUUCUCCAAACAUGACACCAAUUAAACUCAAUUACGUGACACUAGAUACAAAUUCUAUUCUUUUUCCAUAAAGUCGGUAAGAACUGAAGAGGUAUAAGUUUUCAAAUGCGUUCUUGACCCUUUUAUUUUAAAACUGAAGUCGUUUUAGGUUACCUUUGCACAAUUUUGCGUUUUGUCAUGUACUGUUCGUUUGCUUAUGACAGAAAAAUACUACAAUUCCUCCUCAUACAGUUGAAAUACAAAUUAAAGGGAAAAAAACGGUUUUUCGGUUUUACCGGUUUAGAAUCAGACGGUUUUUCGGUUUUGAUUUUAAGCAAAACCGCCCAAGCCUAUGUUAUUGCUUAUUAAAUACAAGCUGCUGGGUACUCUAGGAGUAAGGGUAUGUUUGUGGCUUAUGUGCUGUGAUUUGUCAAGUUAAUAUAAUUUAGUGUUUGCACAAUUAUUAAAACAUUGUCAACUCAAUAAUAGUCAUUGACAAUGUUUGGCAUUAUUAUUAGUCUGGAAAAUCUGGCAUAGAUGGAUUUCCUGUGGGGGGAGGGAGGGUACUCCCUGAAAAAUUAUUGAUUUAUCAAUCAUUCCCCAGAGAUUUAAAUUAAUUAAAUGCUUAGGGGCCAUUCACAAAGGAUGUCCGGCCAAAUGAUGGAUUUUCAGACCCCCUCCCUCCUUGUCCGGCAUUGUCCGAAUUAGUGACCCCCCCCCUCUCCCCUCCCUCCGGACAUCCACCAUGCCUCGAAAAACUCACACAACCAUGUAUAUGUCAAGAGUAAAAAACUUUUUACUUUUAGAACUUUUUUAUAACUAUAAAUGUGAAUACAAAAACAUAUAAAUUACUAAUUAAAACAAAAUCUAGUAUUAACCGCAUAGUCAAAAUGCCAAUUUCACAAUGGGAAGGAGAGUUCAAAAGAGAGGAAAAAGAAAUUUGUUUUUGAAUUUUUUUAAAAUUUCGGACAUCUGUAUUGCUAAAAAAAACCCUCCCCCCCCUAUGUCUGAGUUUGUCCUGAUUUUCCAAACCCCCCUCCCCCCCUCGGCUCGGACAUCCUUUGUGAAUGGACCCUUGUUGGAUUAAAGGAUAGUAAUGUGAUUAAAAUAAGGAUUUUGAACUAAAUAAGACCAAAAAGAAGCCAACCUAAAUAAGACCAAAAUGACCUGCCCCCUUUCCCCAAUGGGGUAAGCAACUUGACAAUUAGCAACCGUCUAUUAAAUUUGACAAUCACAGAUACAGCCAUUAAAACAUACAUUUGUCUUGAUUUAAGUCUUUAUAUUAUGUUUUUAAAAACUUAUAAUACAAGGUGUGUCAUGAAUGUACAUAAGGUGUGCCAUGUCUAGCCUGAGUUCAGUGUAUCUUGACUUAAGGUGGCUCGAUAUGGAAAUUCGUACCCAUCAUGAAAAUUGUGUGACCAUUUUGGGAUGGGAGCUGCUCAAUGAAAACUGUGUUUGCUUAUUUCUGCAUCAUUAAAAAGAUGGGCCAUAUUUCAAUAUAAUGUAAUUUGUGUGAUAAAACUAACACGAAAUGGCAGGGGACAUUUCAAGCUCUAGAUUAACAAAAUAAAGGUUUGAUGCGUAUUCCAACUUAGCAACUAUGUUUUAACUUAAACAGACCAGUUAACCAAGGUCUCGUUUGAUCCGGGCUUCAAGGUGUAUUUUCAAUCUUCAUUUUUACGAUCGGCGGAUCCGUAAACUAAAAUGACAAAUUAAAAUGUCUUGUGUCUGGCCUAAUGGCGACGGAUAAUUAUGGCAGUAUCAUGUUUUAACUUGUAACUAAGCUAAAAAGUAAAAACAUGAUAUUCGAGAAUGUCAAACAGUUCUAAAAAUACUGUAUCGAGCCGCUUUAAAGUCAAAGUUAUCAUGUAAAUUUAAAGUUUGAUUUAAUGUACAAUGUAGUAAAAUUACUGUGAUAACGUUACAGGUAUGUAAUUAAAAAUGGCAUUUUUGUCUGUUUGUUAUUAAAAACAUACUGUGGGUCAUAUUUGGUG